CUAGCAUAUCAAUAAGCGGAGGAAAAGAAACCAACAGGGAUUGCCCCAGUAACGGCGAGUGAAGCGGCAACAGCUCAAAUUUGAAAUCUGGCGCAAGCCCGAGUUGUAAUUUGCAGAGGAUGCUUCUGGGCAGCGGCCGGUCUAAGUUCCUUGGAACAGGACGUCAUAGAGGGUGAGAAUCCCGUACGUGACUGGCUCGCGCCCUCCACGUAGCUCCUUCGACGAGUCGAGUUGUUUGGGAAUGCAGCUCUAAAUGGGAGGUAAAUUUCUUCUAAAGCUAAAUACCGGCCAGAGACCGAUAGCGCACAAGUAGAGUGAUCGAAAGAUGAAAAGCACUUUGGAAAGAGAGUUAAAAAGCACGUGAAAUUGUUGAAAGGGAAGCGCCCGCAAGCAGACUUUGCGGCGGUGUUCCGCCGGUCUUCUGACCGGUGUACUCGCCGCCGUGAGGCCAUCAUCGUCUGGGACCGCUGGAUAAGACCGGAGGAAUGUAGCUUCCCGCGGGAAGUGUUAUAGCCUCUGGUGAUGCAGCGCGUCUCGGGCGAGGUCCGCGCUUCGGCAAGGAUGAUGGCGUAAUGGUUGUCGGCGGCCCGUCUUGAAACACGGACCAAGGAGUCUAACAUCUAUGCGAGUGUUCGGGUGUCAAACCCCUACGCGUAAUGAAAGUGAACGGAGGUGGGAACUUUCGGGUGCACCAUCGACCGAUCCUGAUGUCCUCGGAUGGAUUUGAGUAAGAGCAUAGCUGUUGGGACCCGAAAGAUGGUGAACUAUGCCUGAAUAGGGUGAAGCCAGAGGAAACUCUGGUGGAGGCUCGCAGCGGUUCUGACGUGCAAAUCGAUCGUCAAAUUUGGGUAUAGGUACGAAAGACUAAUCG
rnacentral:rRNA from 1 species